rnacentral:rRNA from 1 species
AACGAACGCUGGCGGCGGGCCUCAUACAUGCAAGUCGAGCGCGAAAGUCCGCAAGGAUGAGUAAAGCGGCGCACGGGUGAGAAACGCGUGGGUAAUCUACCCUUUGGAUUGGAAUAACCUGUCGAAAGACGGGCUAAUGCCAAGUAAGCUCCCUCGAUCAUAAAGUUCGAGUGAGGAAAGGUGGCGCAAGCUACCGCCGAAGGAUGAGCCUGCGUCCCAUUAGCUAGUUGGUAAGGUAAUGGCUUACCAAGGCAACGAUGGGUAGCUGGUCUGAGAGGAUGAUCAGCCACACUGGAACUGAAACACGGUCCAGACUCCUACGGGAGGCAGCAGUAGGGAAUAUUGCGCAAUGGGCGAAAGCCUGACGCAGCCACGCCGCGUGAGUGAAGAAGGCCUUCGGGUUGUAAAGCUCUGUCAUUCGGGAAAAACGGCUAUCCGGGGAAAGUUCGGGUAGCGUGAUGGUACCGAAGGAGGAAGCACCGGCAAACUCUGUG